AUGAACGCUGGCGGCGUGCCUCAUACAUGCAAGUCGAGCGAACAGACGAGGAGCUUGCUCCUCUGACGUUAGCGGCGGACGGGUGAGUAACACGUGGAUAACCUACCUAUAAGACUGGGAUAACUUCGGGAAACCGGAGCUAAUACCGGAUAAUAUAUUGAACCGCAUGGUUCAAUAGUGAAAGGCGGUUUUGCUGUCACUUAUAGAUGGAUCCGCGCCGCAUUAGCUAGUUGGUAAGGUAACGGCUUACCAAGGCAACGAUGCGUAGCCGACCUGAGAGGGUGAUCGGCCACACUGGAACUGAGACACGGUCCAGACUCCUACGGGAGGCAGCAGUAGGGAAUCUUCCGCAAUGGGCGAAAGCCUGACGGAGCAACGCCGCGUGAGUGAUGAAGGUCUUCGGAUCGUAAAACUCUGUUAUUAGGGAAGAAUAAAUGUGUAAGUAACUAUGCACGUCUUGACGGUACCUAAUCAGAAAGCCACGGCUAACUACGUG
rnacentral:rRNA from 1 species